rnacentral:tRNA from 1 species
CGCACCGUAGAGCAGUCGGGUAGCUCGCUGGGCUCAUAACUCAGAGGUCGGCGGUUCGAAUCCGCCCGGUGCCA